UACAGAGGAUGCAAGCGUUAUCCGGAAUGAUUGGGCGUAAAGCGUCUGUAGGUGGCUUUUUAAGUCCGCCGUCAAAUCCCAGGGCUCAACUCUGGACAGGCGGUGGAAACUACCAAGCUGGAGUACGGUAGGGGCAGAGGGAAUUUCCGGUGGAGCGGUGAAAUGCGUAGAGAUCGGGAGGAACACCUGUGGCGAAAGCGGCUCACUGGACCAUUACUGACGCUGAGGCACGAAAGCUAGGGGAGCAAACAGG
rnacentral:rRNA from 1 species